UUGCUUUUCCUGUUCCAGCUUUUUCACGCACAGUCAGGACCCCCCUGGAACUUCAUCUACUGCCAGCUCCCCCAUUCCCCUCCCACGAGUGUGGGUGGCCCUCUUAGCCUCUGACCGCAUACUGGAACCUGCGGAGGCAGUGUUACCAGACCUGAGGUCUUCCUCUGCAUUUCAUUUGCUGUUCCCUGGCCUGCAAUGCCCCUUCCUUCCCACCUCCCCCGAGGGCCUAGCAGCCCCUCCUACACAGCCCUCUAGCCCCUCUGUGCUCAAAGUGCAUCUGAGGACAUCACCUGAGAGCUGUAGGAGAUGCAGGAUCUCAGGCCCCACCCCAAACCUACUGAAGCCAAAUCUGCUGUUUAACGUGAUCCCUGGAGAUUCAUAAGCAUGUUGUCUGUGCAGCACGGAGUGAGGGGCGGCUCCUCUUCGCUGCACCCCUUCCUGAUUACCCCUAGGCCCAGCCAAAUAAACUCUUCUUCCUGCUCCCUUGUGCCCCAUUUGGACUUCACUCGUAACAAGGGAGUAUAACUGGAUGGUAAAAGGGACUUUUCCUGUUAUCUAGACAUUUCAGCAGAGGCCUCAAAGGCAGAACAAAAUAGUGCAAGGAGCCGCACAUCCGCACAGUGCUGAGACCCUGCCCAGGACAAGCUUGGCCGCAGUAUUCCCUUUGGCACCCCCACCCACCUGGAACAAAGCCUGAUGUAAAGUCUGGGUGCGACUCAGACCGGCCUGGGAAAGAAUUUAUUUAAUAAAUGGUGGAAAGUGGCUUCCUUGACGUGUCUUCGAUGGCUUUUUUAUAAAGCAUUUGGUUUGUCUACUCGUCUGUUUUUGCGCCAUCUCUUUCCACAAAGAUGGCUUAUAGCAGGGAUACUUACAACAAAAUGAUGCUGGGAAAACAAAAACAAAGAAGUAGAGAAUUAGGCCUGAGAAAACUAGGAGUAGAGAGUCACGAUUAGAUACAGAGGAGCAUAGAUGUGUAGUCUAGGAAGGCCAACUAAUUGUUAUAGCUGAAAUUCAAAUUCAGUUAGCUAAAAUGUUCCUAGUGUCAAAGGAAGAAUGGGCCACACAGUUGCAUAAUCCUUAGUAUUAGGGAGAAGGAAAAGGUUCCAGUUAUUCAGAGGGAUGUUCUCUUGCCUUAUUCCUUUAAUAAGUAUCUGUUAAAGGCCCACCAUGUGCCAAGCACCAUGCCCGGCAAGCACUGCACUCACCCCCCAGGAACUCAGUGUCUAAAGGAGACUGGGUGAAAGAACUAUAUUUGUGUGCCUAUGAUGUGUCAAAUACUAUGCAUUUAGUUAUGCAGUUACUGUAUGUUAGACACUAUGCAUUUAAUUAUUUACCUGCUGUAUAUCAGACACCAUGCAUUUUCAUUUAACCCUCAUAAGCACUUACAUCAAGUAGACACUGUUACCUCUUUUUUACAGAUGAGAAAACAGAGUCUCUUCCCGCAGCUGGUCAUCUGGCGUAACUUGCUCCUUUCCCACCCCAGGACUGUCAUCUCAGGGAGCCUGUUCUGGUGACUUCUGGAAAGGCCUGGACUCCUUUGUUCCAUGGAGUCAUCAGGUAACUACGAAGAGUCCUCAGUUUGCUUUUCCCCAGCGCCUUGUCGAGCUUCCUUGGGUGUCCCAGGUCUUGCUGUGUUCAGUGCGGCUUGGGUCAUACUUGGUCUUCUUGGGCAAUGACAAAGGUGGCUUUUAGUUAGGGAAGGAAGACAGCCUCAGAAGGGAGAAGCCUAUCAGUAUUUCAAGCCCCAGGCGAUGUGAAAAACUGAGCCUUUGUUUGGGAGUGUCAGCCCCCAGGACUUGCGUGUUUCUGCCCUGAAGCGUUUUCUGCUUUCUGAAGGCUGCAGUUCUCUUCCUCGUUUUAUUGACUGCCUACGUGCCAGGGGCUUUGUGAAUAUUACCGCACUGAAAUUCCCAAUACCCAGCAAGAAGGCAUUAUUAUCCUUAUUUUACAGAUGAGAAAAUAGAGAUUAAACAACUUACUUAACUGUUUGAACUCCGUGGGGCACAAACAUGAAAUGAUUCUAUUUUUUCUCCAGAUCUUUUUAGAGAUUUAUACCAAAUCUCCUUUUCAUAAUUCCAUAGCUUUUUGGUUGUUUUUAGGUAUUAAAAAACCCCUAUGGUCCAGUCCACUUUCUUUUCAAAGCCUCAAAUCUUGAAUCCGAUAUCAUAUCC
rnacentral:lncRNA from 1 species